CAAAGGUUUCUAAGAAAGAUCUAUCCCAGUCUCACAUGGCCUCCCCAGGCAGCAAACCCAGACCUCUGUAUUGAGAAGCCUAUAACUAACUGCCUGUGCAAGUCCCACAGACAAACCAUAUUCUACAGCCACUUGAUACGCAUAUGAUUACCUGUCCUGAUGAAGACUGAAUAACAUUGGUUGUCGGUGACUGGAUGCUUCGGCGGGAAGGAUGUAAACACAGAUUACUUAUUCGCAGUGAGCAGGCUGCUGGUCUGCAUGUUGUAUGCAGGUGGUGGGUAAUUUGUAGAUAAUACCGACGAAUAAUUUGGAAGAAGAUUAUCUGGAGAUAAAUGGCAGACAAUCUGGGCAUUUUGUCAAUUCUGGAAUGUCCAGUCUGUUUGGAAUACAUGAUCCCACCAAUUUUCCAAUGUCAGAAUCAGCACCUAAUUUGUUCGAAAUGUCAUACAAACCAGACGCGCUGCCCUAUUUGUCGAGGGAUGAUGAAAGGUGUCCGCAACCUGUGCAUGGAGAAAGUAACAGAAUAUAUUUCUUAUCCAUGCAAGAAUGAUGGAAAUGGUUGCAAUGCCAUGCUCAGGCUGGAUCAAAAGGAACACCAUGAGAAGAUCUGCCUUAAAAGUGGACAAUAUCAUUGUCUUCUACCAAUGACAGGGCAGAAUAUUAAAGAGUGUCUCUGGAUUGGCCCAUUUGAAAAAGCUGAUGCUCACAUAAGACAGACACACAGUCAUUUGAUUAAAAACUCAAAUGAUGGUUCUUUCAACUUAUAUGCAUCUGAAUUUAUAAAUUAUCAGUAUUAUAUAUUAUUUGAUGAUAACCUUUUCUGUGUUUUGAUACAUAAAGAUCCUUUAAGGACUUCCUGUGUCCAGAAGGUUUAUACAUUUUUCUUCCACAUUACCAGUGUAACAUGUACAAAAAGAAAAUCCUAUGCAUACAAUGUGAACAUUGAAGGGCAUUGUGAUACAUUUGAAGGAUUUGUGGGCAAGCUGGUCCGUCAUACUGAUAUUAAAGAUAUGGCUUGUAGAAAUGAAUGCCAUCAUUUUAUGGGAAAUGAUAACAAUUUUGCCUUUAAAGGAAACAUUGCCAAAAUAUAGUAAAAGUCUGAAGUACUGAUGUGCUGAUUUGCAAUCCCCUACCAAAUACUGAUAAGACCAGUACCUCAGUGGAGAAGGUCUACCUCAAUGAAAGAUCAUAAUUAGGAAUCAGCAUUGUUUAUAACAUAAUUGACUUUAUUGAUUUUGGUACAAUUAUAUUGUUUUUUAUUUCAUAUGCAGCAACUUAUAGGGGGAGAUUUGUAAUUUGUUUUUAAUCUCUGUAUUUCACUUGGACACAGACAGCGGGGUACUCAGUAAAAAGACAUCUGGUGUUUGUCAGUGUUUCUUCAGGGAAUUCAAAUUAUUAGGUCCUGUACUUUACUUCUUUAUUUAAUGUAUAAUCUUACGUGAACACACAACUUAACAAAUCAUGGGUGUUGGGUCACCAUGGCACCUAGAAAUUUUGUUGUGGUGUCAAAGUAUUUUUGUUUAGUGACCAUUUGCAGUCAUCUAUAUUAUGGUUAAUUUUUGGUUGAGAUUUUGUUCUAAAUGCCAUUAGGUGGUGCAAAGUUUGGCUGAUUAUAAGAAGGUGCAGACCAAUCCAUAAACGUUAUGCAACAAACUUGCAGAGAGUGAACUUCACAAACACUUUGUGAUAUUGUGGUUUGUGUUUUUCACUUAUAACUGCAUCUAAAAGUUUGUAGCUUUAAUAGUUGAUACAGCAACAGUGAAACUGCAGCAAUAACUGGGAGACAAGAAAAUUCAAAGUAAAUACACCUUUAAUGUUCCAUUGGAAAGAAUAAAUAACCUCCUCCAGAAGUGAACUCAGAAGGGUCCAUAUAAAUGAGGCAUUUGUCGAAUGGGCCAAAGUUUUGACAUUUAUAUUUAAUCAUGCCAUAGAUAUAGCAAACUGUGAGGAAUAUAUCUUCCUCUUCCAGUAUUGCAGAUCAGUACUCUGCGUAUGAACCAUUGGUACACUACUUCGGAUCUAAAACCACAAAAUGUGUAUGGCCACAAGAGGCCGAGUCAGAAAUCGUGAAAGUAAGCAUGGCAUGCAAAUAAUUUAUUUCCUGUCAGAAUGUUAUUUUAUAUAAAUGUCGUUAUCUCAUGUAAUUGCUCACAGAUACAUUAAAACAUGUUAUGAAAUGCAUGCAUAGCUUAUUAAUUGUAGAAAGUUUGCCAGAAUGUUACCGUUGUGAAUGGCACCAAUAAUUUCAGUUAUCUUGGGCAAGUGACCUUUUCACUCUGUCAUAGUAUUUAUGUCAGUGCCAGUACAUCCCGGAAUCUGAUUUAUCUCUCAUAUAAAAUUAGAGGGUUUUGAUAAAUUGACUCUAAAAAAAGUACUACAAGAGUUUCAUAUUUUAAUUGAAUUAAAAUCCAAAUGACUUAGUCUAAUAAUUCAGGAAACAAGGAAGUAAGUUUUUUCUACAACAAUGUUGUUGCCAAGGUACUGAUGGUAAAAUUAUGUGCUCUGUUACUGUUGAAUAUAUUUCCCUAUUGAACAGUAAGCUCUAAAAAGUAUGUGUGCUUUUAUGUAAAAUGGUUGUUAAAACUGUGUGAUCUGAAUAAAGAUUAAAAUAGCUUGA